UCAAAGAUUAAGCCAUGCAUGUCUAAGUACAUACCGCCUUAAGGUGGAAACCGCGUAAUGGCUCAUUAAAUCAGUUACGGUUCCUUAGAUAUUGAGUAUCUACAUGGAUAACUGUGGUAAUUCUAGAGCUAAUACGUGCACAAAAGCUUUGACCCUAGCUGGAAGAAGCGCAUUUAUUAGACCAAGACCAAUGGGGCCUCCUUCGUGGGGUCCCUCCUAAUGGUGACUCUGGAUAACUGAGCUAAUCGCAUGGCCUCAGCGCCGGCGAUGAGUCUUUCAAGUGUCUGCCUUAUCAACUUUCGAUGGUAGGUUAUGCACCUACCAUGGUUGUAACGGGUAACGGGGAAUCAGGGUUCGAUUCCGGAGAGGGAGCCUGAGAAACGGCUACCACAUCCAAGGGAAGGCAGCAGGCACGCAAAUUACCCACUCCCGGCACGGGGAGGUAGUGACGAAAAAUAACAAUUCGGGACUCUUAUGAGGCCCCGUAAUUGGAAUGAGUACAAUCUAAAUCCCUUUAACGAGGGAUCUAUUGGAGGGCAAGUCUGGUGCCAGCAGCCGCGG
rnacentral:rRNA from 1 species